UUUGCAGGGCCUCUGUGUUCCGCUGUCCUGGAGGAUGCUCCUACAAGUGCCCCGUGAUCGACUUCAACACUUGUCCUUAUGGAAAGGCACACGACGCGUGUAGUUGCUGCUUCGCGUGUGCCAAGGGACCUGGAGAAAUUUGCAAUCCUAGAUCAUAUGAAUGCGCAUCAAAUAUGUAUUGUGCACAUGCGUUUUGGAAUGUGUAUCGGUGUAAGGCGAAGUAACAAGACUGAUGCAGUUGUUUACUUAAAGGCCAGCACAACUUAAUUGUCUAAAGUGUUUCUGCAUCGAACGCCUGUCUUUAUGCUCCUUGUGGUUUAAAGAGAUAAAAAUCUGUGAAGAUCAGAAUAAAGUGCCCAAUUCCA